CUGGGGCAAUGGGCAGCAUACACCCACUUUUCCACACGUUAGUGGUUGCCUGGAGGCGUGUUGCAGCUUGUCCUUAGAUGGGCUGAGUGUUCUCCUCGGAGUCCAGCCUGAUUCAUUUGUGUGUCCUGAGUACAUGUGGGGACUGAGUUUUUUUCCAUCUGUGAUGUAAAGGUUAAGUGUUGAUUGUCUUCAUCAUAUUCAUGGGCAGAAAAUGUAGUAUUAUGGCAUCAUCACUGAUGGAUAUGAAACCACUGUUGGCUUCUUUCUUCCUCCAGCCCUGAAGCCUUGCACCGGUCCUUCCUCGAGGGAAGCAGCAGGAGUCAGCUCACAGUAGAGCUUGGGACAUGCCAGUCUGUGGCAGGAGGGAACAGGAAUGGGAGGGAGAAAGCCUGAGACCAGACUUAGGAACCACAAGCCUGGAAGCCACAAAGCACACCCACUAAUUGACUCUGUGUCUUGGAAACGUCUUCUUGGAUAUUAUAAUUAUAUUGAAAAACUGGGCAAGAUGGCUCCCGCUGGACCUUCAAGGCCAUGUUUCUAUGGUGGAAGGCGUUGA
rnacentral:lncRNA from 1 species